AACUGUGGGUGCUGAAUAACUGGCACUCUGAUUUUAAGUGCUGCAGAAGGAGGCCAGUAGGGGGCGCCAGCCAUCACACUGGGAGCAAGAGGGCCCUGCAGUGUCCCAACUACCAGCAGGGUAUGUGCUGUCACAACACUGAGCAAGAGGGUUCUGCAGUGUCCCCAGCUGCUAGUACACUGUGAGCAACAGGACCCUACAGUGCCCCAGAAGCCAGCAGGGGGUGUGCUGCCACUACGCUAUGAGCAAGAUGGCCCUGCAGUGUCCCAGCUGCCAGCAGGUGGUGUGCCACCACUACACUGUGAGUCAGAGGGCCCUACAGUGCCCCGAGAAGAGAACAGGGGGCACGCAGCACCACACGGUAAGCAAGAGGACCCUGCAGUUCUCUGGUUGCCAGCACGGGGGUGCGGCCAUGAAAUUACAAACAAGAGGAUCUUGCAGUACCCCCAGUGGCCAGCAGGGGGCGGGCUGCCACUACACCGUGAGUAAGAGGGCCCAGCCGCACAGGCACCUCAGUGAGCAAGAGGACACUGCAUAGCCCUGGUUGCCAGCAGGGGGCAUGUUGCCACUACACUGUGAGCAAGAGGACCCUGCAGUACCCGGCCGCCAGGAGGGGGCACCCAAGCCUGCCUUUUCAGAUUCCUGAGGCUCCGCCACUGAUGUGCAUCGCGUCACAGCGCCACCCUGUGUCACGUCACAGUGGUCUGCAGAGUUGUGUUCUCAGUAUAGACCUGGGGGCACUUCGAGGGUGGAGCUGUGUCCUCCUCUGGGAGGACACCAAAGCACAAACCACAAAAGGAAAAACAGGUAAGACGAUUUCCUCAAGAUUAUUUUGGAACUUUAUAAUUUGACUGCCCUAUUGGAUUUCUGUCUUGGAUGGGACCUCUAACCCCUGUUUUUCCUCUCAUUUGGAACACCUAUAUUUUCUCAAUGCCUGUAUUCCCAUUGUAUCUAGGAAGUAACUAGCUUGCUUUUGAUUUUACAGCUUCAUAGGUGGAAGGGACUUGCCUUUUCACAGAUGAGACUAUGGACUGUGGACUUUUGAGUUAAUGUUGAAAUAAGACCUGUGGGACUUUUGAGAAGGCAUGAUUGAUUUUGAAAUGUGAGGACAUAAGAUUUGAGGGGUUAAAGUUAAAGAAUCAGGAAUGCAGCUAAACAUAUAAAAACUUUGCAAACCCAUAAUUUUUAUGAUGAAACAAAUACAUUUUAUCAUCUUUUAUGUAUAAUAUGUUUUGAUGCUUUUUUAACCCAAUGAAAUGUGAGUUUUGUGAUUUUGAUCUUACUAUAGCAAUGGUUUUAUAAACAAAGAAAAACGAAUAAUUCAGGAUUGCAGAGAUAGUAGACUAUUAAAAGUAGUUUGGGUAUUAAAUUAUUAUGAAAUAAUUGUGUAUUCAAUAAUUCUAAAUCCAACAGUUGUGAUUGAACAGAUCUGUAGGCAUAUGUAAGUGUUGAGGUGAAAGUGACAAGCAAAGCAGUUACGUUGAACAUUUAUGUCUGGAGGUAAUCGAUAGAGGAACUGGCUGUGGACCUUCACCUCUGCCUCAUCUUUGUUUGUGCUGUAACUGAGUAUCAAAAACAAAACAAAACAAAACCACCACUUAUCUCUCAAAGAGAGAGAAAGAAUGUUUCCUUCAAUUUAAGCAUUCCUAAAUUGCCACCUGAUGGCCCCUGUACUCUUGGAGGAGGCCAAGGCAGAGCAGACCCUCAGGUGGGCGGGCAAUGCACUUAACCCUGAGGACAUCAGGUACCCGGCUCCCCCAUCCACUGCUGGCACCCAAGUCACCCCUGCUGCCUAGACGUGGCAUGGGAGCAGCAAGUGGCUGGACACCCCAGACCAUGCCCACGCCCCCAGCUCCUCAUGCUGGGAAUCCAGGCGGCAAAGUCAGGUGGUCCGCCCUGCUAGCAGCCGCUCAGUCUCAUUGGUGUGGAUGCAGAGUGCCCAGCGCAGGGGCUCAGGAUCUGGAAAGGUGUCCAAGAGGAGCGGCCCCUUAGGCCGGAUGGGCUGUGCACUCGGCGACCCUGAUGCCACCCAAGCGAAGCUCCACCAUCUCACACCAGUACCAGAGCUGUACCUGCAAACUGCGCAUCCAGCACGGGCAGCAGUGGGGGCCGGUGGGGGAAGGAGCAACCCCUGACUUUCCAUGCAUCUCCCGCUCCGUGACACCUGCCAGGCAGACACCGGGGCCAGAGUCUCGGCGUUGAAGCCAGCCCAUCCACGAAGCCGCUCCAGUGCCGCUGAGUGCCCAUGCCAGACCCGGUCUCCCUUUGAGGAGGAGUUGGGGCGGCGGCAUGGUCAGACAGGUCUCCCCCUCCUCCCUUAUAUGAGAUAUAGGUAAGGAUUGAUAAUGUUCCAUCAGGAAUUCAUGUUUGUGAUAUGAAAUGCGCGCCUGCAAUCCUGUUCCUGUUGUCCUCCGGCAGCCCGGGCGAGCCCAAGAGAACCGGGAGCCCAGUGAUGCCUGCCCCCAGCUGCAGCCCCGCCUGCCCCCAGCUGCAUCCCCACCUGCCUGCGCGCACCUGGGAGCGGCUUCCGGGAGCCGGGCGGCCACCGUGGCGCAGGCGCGCACCUAACGGCUUUGCGGGGCUCGCUUGGUCUGAGGUCGGAGGCUGCAAGUGUUGCUGCUGAAGGCUGUGGUGACCCGGCUGGAUCACGGGUUCUGGGCUAGAAAGCAGAUUUGGGAUUGUAGAUUGGGGGUUGGCGCCAGGUGGGGGUGGGAGGAGCCAGAAGCUAGUUGCUGGGGAUCUGAGAAGUCACCACCUUGAAGAAGUUCCUCGGGUUCGAGAGCCAGGGGCCAAGGCAGAGCAGAGCCUCAGGUCCUGGGCUCCAUAGACCCCGCCUACACCGCUUCCCGGCACCGAAUCCGAGACGCGGAACAGCGAGAGAUCCACAGGAUGGCUGUCGGGGGCACCGCCGCGGAGGUGGAGCUGCCUUGCACACCGGAGCGGAGACCUGGAAGCCCGCGACAAGCCGCACAGGUCCCUACUGAGAGAACUCAUUCCCCUAUCAAAAAUACCGGGAGUCAUUUUCAGCAGGCGAAAAUUUUUUAGAUAAAACUGCCCGUUUUACAUAGAUCGGUUGUUUACUGAAGGGUCUUAGAGGGAAACUUGGAAGUGGGAGGUGGGUUUUGUGUACUUGAAUGAGAAGACACAUUUUUCUCAAAAUGUGAACUCUCUUUGUGUUUAUCAAUUUUACAUAAACCGAAUGAAAAUAUCAAGGUUUUAACAUUUUUGCACGACACCUGCUGUCUUUUACUAUUGUGAUGACAUUUUAAAUAAUUUUAUAAUGGACUGAAAAAAUGCUUCUCUAGAUAUUAAAAUGUGCUAUUAAUUUGAAUAAUUGUUUACUAAAAGCUGAAAAUAUCGAUAAAUGCAUGGAACAGAAUAGGAAAUGCAGAAACACUGAAAUGAUAUAAGACAUAUGUAAGGAUUGAUAAUGUUGACAGAUAAAAAUAGGAAAGGAUGAAUUAUUAAUGAAAACAAUGUCUGCUCUUUGAAGAAAACUAAUGAAAUUUUAUAUCACAAACAUGAGUGCCUGAUGGAACACAGAUUGAAACUUUUACAUAU